rnacentral:tRNA from 1 species
GCGCAGCACGGCGGCAUCGAUGGCGUUCUCGCGGAACGCCGGCUCGUACCGUUCCAUCCCGAGGCUGCGCA